rnacentral:misc_RNA from 1 species
CUUUCCAUUUGCCAUGGAUUUGAUUGCACCAACUAGUGUAAUCUUCAUUCUUCAGCAUAUAUGGAACUCAAGUGCACUCGAAUACAAGAAGACUUUACGAGAAUGUGUUAAGCAGAGGGAGUUUUGGUUUCGUCAAAAUUAUUUCUUACCUUCUUUUACAAGUCAGCAUUGAGGAAUUUGAGAACUGUCCUUAGAAGGUGAGAGAGAGCCGCC